rnacentral:misc_RNA from 1 species
AAGUCGUAACAAGGUCUCCGUAGGUGAACCUGCGAAGGGAUCAUUAAGCUAAGACCCGGGCCGGGGCCGGCGUCACCGCCGGCCUGUCGAGUAGCUGGGCAGUCUCCAACCCUUUGUGAACCACAACUCUGUUGCUUCGGGGCGACCCCGCCGUCACCGGCAGUGUGCUCCCGGCGGCCAACCAUGAAACUCUGCAUCUCUUUGCGUCGGAGUCUUGAAUAGAAUUCAAACAAAA